GCGUCCCAUCGGAUGGUUGCUAGGUAACUGCCUGGAACAGCCGGCUGCCCCCAUUACACCCAGGUGAUGAAACCGGGUCCCUCGGGCAAGAAGGAAUCAGCUUUUUGAGGAAAAGAUGAUGCAUUAAGACAGCGUGUGAAGUGAAAAAGAAAAGAUCAUUUGAGUCACUGAAUGUAAUUAGCAGCAUUCUCCAGAACUGAGAGCGAUGCAGGGGUCACGGAGCUAGGACGGAGCCGUCUGUCGUCAGAAGGUCGAUGCGCUGAGAACUCCAAGGACACGCCAUCCCCGCGCGGUGUCGCCAUCUUGUCUCUACGCAGCUUGCGGCAGACAAUAAAUAAAUGCCUGCAAGCCAGAGAGUUUUGUUUGAUGGAAAGGUGGGACAAGGAUGAGGGAAGGAGAAGGGCAGUCUGGGGGGUGUUGUUUUUUUUGGGGGGGGUGUUUUGUUUUGUUUUUUUUCCAGCAACUUUGGAAAAAAAAGACUUUGGUUUCCCUUGUUUCUUGGUUCCUGUAAUAAAGUUCUCUGGGGACCAGCUUAAAGUUGUCUGUUCCAAAAGAGAAAUGGGCACCCAGUCCACUUAAGUUCGAUAAGAGUCUUUUGCUGUGGGUGGUUUCAAGUCAACAAUAAAUCCUUACCGCUUCCCCUAGCGUUUGGGUUCAGUUUUUUUUUUCUUUUAAACACAAUGUACAAAAAUAGAACUUCUUCCUUAUUUUAAUGUAAAAAUAUUUCUCUGAUGCAGUUUUUUGUGUGUGUGUGU